rnacentral:rRNA from 1 species
AACGAACGCUGGCGGCGUGGAUAAGACAUGCAAGUCGAACGGGAUAUUAUUUGUAGCAAUACACGUAAUGUCCAGUGGCGUAAGGGUGCGUAACACGUGGGCAACCUGCCGAGAAGUGGGGAUAGCUCGUCGAAAGGCGAAUUAAUACCGCAUGUGGUUAGUGCUGGAUUCAGCGCGAAUACCAAAGCCGGUCGUAGUAAUACGGCUGGCGCUUCUUGAUGGGCCCGCGGCCUAUCAGCUAGUUGGUGAGGUAACGGCUCACCAAGGCUAUGACGGGUAGCUGGUCUGAGAGGACGACCAGCCANACUGGAACUGAGACACGGUCCAGACACCUACGGG